rnacentral:lncRNA from 1 species
GUUCAAUUAUAACCGUAAUCUUCGACAAUCUCCAUAAUUUUAUUCAAUUUCAUUGACAUCCUCUCAUAUUGAUGCUGGUAAAAGUAUUAAUUUGAAAUCAUAAACUUACAGUAGUAACAAUGCUCGUGUACACGAAGAAGAGACCCAAAUCACAGCAGCUAUAUAUGAAAAAUAGUGACGACAAUAGAAUCAAGAACAAAUAGAGCACAAACAGUCAAAAACUAGUUCAAAAUCAUUCCAAGAACACUUUAAAGCCACUCUAGAGAGUUCACUCCCUAAGAAGAAUUUUCAAAAGAAAUUCACGAAGUGUGCCAAUACACAAUGAGCUCUAUCAGUCGGAGAACUCAAUCGAACAUAUAAUACAUGUUCCAACAAAAGUUAUAACGGCCAAUGCACCAGUCGAAAUUCAGCAAUAUAUUACUCGCCACAAUGCUGAAGAAAUCCCACAAAACAGGGAAUACGAAAAAAAAAAUCAAAAAUGAUCCUCCUCGGAGAAUCCAAAAUUAUUGCUCAUCACUCGAGCAUCCAAAACUCAAUGACCUACACUCCCAUGUCUCUCUUUCCUCUGCAUUCUCAUGGUCACCAUUAUUCUGCCAUUGUACUCGCGAAGCACCAUAGAAAGGGGAAAAAAUCCAAGGCCAAUCAAUACCUAAUCUUAAAGAAGCCCACGUAUCCAAAAGUCUAAUUUCCUCUUUUUAAUCAGCCCAACAACUAAAAACGUCAAAAUUACUAAAUAUGGGACUAUGGCUAGGUAAGCAUUCUAUAGUAAGAGGAGUAGUUAUGAACCCUGUAGACCACCCCCAUUGCUACCUAUGCCUAGAUUGCGGAUAAAUGAAAAUUUUAUUGAUAAGACUUUAAUUUUCCUUUAUCCCUAUCCUAAAGGUGUAGUGUUCAAAUCAAUAGAGAACCUUUAGCUCGUCAGAAAGCUAGAUUCGCCUCAUCCCUUUCCUUCAACUUUUUCUCAAAUUAGCUUGGCAUUUUUCAUUUUCAGGAUUUUAGCCCCGAUUAGGAAAGGGCCGGAGAAGAACCUAUAAUUAGCUUUUCAGGAAAUUUCAAAACGAGCAAUUUCAACGAAAUCUUUCAAUUUCUUAUUUUACUAUGUUCAACUCUAAUCUACCCAUCUUUUGCGAAG